CUAGCCCCGCGGCCUCACUGGGCAGAGGAGUGGUUGAGAGGCUGACUCUGUUUUCUCUGGGUUCCCUCCAGGGCCUGUGCAGCUGGACAGGGGCCAGGGCGCCCGACCCUCCUUCCCAAUUCUCAGCCCCCAACCCAGGGAGGAACCUGACAGUGGAGACUCAGACCACCAGCUCCAUCUCCCUGAGCUGGAAGGCCCCUGAUGGCACAGACUCACAGAACUCCAACUAUUCGGUUCAGUGCACUGGAGAUGGUGGCAGAUCAGAGACUCGAACCACAAGAUACACCGUCAUUGUGUAUGGACUUGGACCCGGGUCAUUGUAUACGUGUUCUGUGUCGGUGGAGAAAGACGGAGUAAAUAGCUCUGUGGGGACUGUCACUGGUGCCACAGCUCCCAACCCAGUGAGGAACCUGAGAGUGGAGGCUCAGACCAACAGCUCCAUCACCCUGACCUGGGAGGCCGAUGGCCCAGACCCACAGAACUCCACCUACUGGGUUGAGUACACUGGAGAUGGUGGCACAGCAGGGACUCGAAGCACAGCAAACACCAACAUCACCGUGGAUGGACUUGAACCCG
rnacentral:sRNA from 1 species